UACGGGGGGGGGCAAGCGUUGUUCGGAAUUACUGGGCGUAAAGGGCUCGUAGGCGGCCAACUAAGUCGGACGUGAAAUCCCCAGGCUCAACCUGGGAACUGCGUCCGAUACUGGAUGGCUUGAAUCCGGGAGAGGGAUGCAGAAUUCCAGGUGUAGCGGUGAAAUGCGUAGAUAUCCGGAGGAACACCGGUGGCGAAGGCGGCUUCCUGGACCGACACUGACGCUGAGGCGCGAAAGCUAGGGGAGCAAACGGG
rnacentral:rRNA from 1 species